GAUGAACGCUAGCUACAGGCUUAACACAUGCAAGUCGAACGAAGCACCAUGGAAAGAUUCUUCGGAAGAUUGAAAUGGUGACUGAGUGGUGGACGGGUGAGUAACGCGUGGGUAACCUGCCUCAUACAGGGGGAUAACAGUUAGAAAUGACUGCUAAUACCGCAUAAGCGCACGGUAUCGCAUGAUACAGUGUGAAAAACUCCGGUGGUAUGAGAUGGACCCGCGUCUGAUUAGCUAGUUGGUGGGGUAACGGCCUACCAAGGCGACGAUCAGUAGCCGACCUGAGAGGGUGACCGGCCACAUUGGGACUGAGACACGGCCCAAACUCCUACGGGAGGCAGCAGUGGGGAAUAUUGCACAAUGGGCGAAAGCCUGAUGCAGCGACGCCGCGUGAGCGAAGAAGUAUUUCGGUAUGUAAAGCUCUAUCAGCAGGGAAGAAAAUGACGGUACCUGACUAAGAAGCACCGGCUAAAUACGUGCCAGCAGCCGCAGUAAGAC
rnacentral:rRNA from 1 species